AAAGAAAUAAUAUAGAAAGCUUCUAACUUUCGCUAGAGCAUUAACUUGUUCAUAUUUCUU
rnacentral:tRNA from 1 species